rnacentral:rRNA from 1 species
GAUGAACGCUGGCGGCGUGCCUAAUACAUGCCAGUCGAGCGAACAGACGAGGAUCUUGCUCUUCUGACGUUAGCGGCGGACGGGUGAGUAACACGUGGAUAACCUACCUAUAAGACUGGGAUCACUUCGGGAAACCGGAGCUAAUACCGGAUAAUAUAUUGAACCGCAUGGUUCAAUAGUGAAAGACGGUAUUGCUGUCACUUAUAGAUGGAUCCGCGCCGCAUUAGCUAGUUGGUAAGGUAACGGCUUACCAAGGCAACGAUGCGUAGCCGACCUGAUAGGGUGAUCGUCCACACUGGAGCUGAGCCACGGUCCAGACGCCUACGGGACGCAGCAGAAGGGAAGUUUCCCCAAUGGGCGAAAGCCUGACGGUGCAACGCCGGGUCAGUGAUGAAGGUCUUCGGAGCGUAAAGCUCGGUUUUUAGGGAAGAACAAAUGUGGAAGUAACUAUGCACGUCUUGACGGUACCUAAUCAGAAAGCCACGGCUAACUACGUG